UUGUAGGCUGCAACUCGCCUACAUGAAGUUGGGAAUCGCUAGUAAUCGCGAAUCAGAAUGUCGCGGUGAAUACGUUCCCGGGUCUUGUACACACCGCCCGUUACACCACGAGAGUUUACAACACCCGAAGUCAGUGGCCUAACCGCAAGGAGGGAGCUGCCUAAGGCGGGGUAGAUGAUUGGGGUGAAGUCGUAACAAGGUAAC
rnacentral:rRNA from 1 species